UAAUUGCACCGUAUCUUCCUUGCAUUUGUGCGUGUACUCGGUGGCUGCUACCGUUAACGAUGCCUGCCAAGAAAGCCUGAUUUACUGGGUGAGGGGGGCUCCUGGCAAAGGCGAAACCCUCCCAACAGUAGCACAAGGUGCCAGAGGUUAGAACUUUCACAUGUGCACAGAGUGAAUAUGCUGUGUCUGUAUUUCUUUCCUCCUGGGGCCUUAGGAACACUUUCAAUCUAGCGGCGAGGUGGCGCGCAUGCGCGCGCCGGGUGGGGGACACCCCGGUCCCACGGCUCCGUGGGCCUCGUCGUCUAUCUCCGGUGGGGGGAUGGGGCGAGCGCCGCGGGAGCGGGGCCGGACGAGGUGGUAGCGAGUGCGCCCUCCUGGGCUCGCCGCCAGUGGCACCGGCUCUAGCACCGGACGCCGCCCGCCCGCGUCGGAGGUGCGCCUUUAAUUAAAAGACUUCGGCUCGCGGGAAAGAGGGGAAAAUGCCGACUGCGCUCGGCCCGUGGGUAACUGGGACUCGGUGGGGUUUUCGCUUUGGCGGGGUGGGGGUUCCGUUUCCUAAUUCCUGUGCGGGCCGGGUGGGCGGGGGCGGGCUUUUUCCCUGGGCUAUUAAAGGCAGAGGGGCGGGCUUUUCCCAGGGAUAGAGCGUCGGACGGAGGGCCGAGGGGACGGAGCGCUCCUCGAGUGGUGGCAGGACGGCUGGUGGCCCCGCGUCGUGCUGGCCGGGGGCGCUUUGGCACGAGGACGGGAGCGCGUGGUGUGAGCAGCUGGAGCACACUCUGGGCGCGCGGGCGGCUCCCGGACUUCAACAGGAGCGCUAGCGUGUGGAUAUAUGGCUGUGCAAAUCCAUGCAAAACUGAUUGUGAUACUGUGUUUCUUCUGCGGCCCUACCUUCUCACGAAUCUCCAGUCUUCACACGAAUCUCCAGUCUUCGCACCCAUUCAUUCAUGGGUGGGGAUUUGUUGCACUGCUUGUGUUAUAUAUAAAGUAUUGCACUUGUCCCGGCCUGUGGAAGAAAUGAGGAAUUUAUCAUCUUCUUUUAAUGUUUAAAGGUUGUAAGUUCUGAUACUUGAUCAUUGUAAAAUGACCUGUUUUGCUGUUGUCGGGUGGAUCACGAUGCAAUUUUGAUUAGUAUAAUAGGAGAAAAAUUGCACGGUAUCCAUCUGCGAACCGCAGGACCCUUGUUGACAACAGUCUGUUGGUACUUAAGUAAGAUGUCCUUUCUCUAGUUAACUGCAGUUAAAAAAUGUUCUGAAACACAUCUGGAGUUUUAAAAAUGGUAACAGUUUUUAAAAUAAAAUAUUUGAAAUCAAGAAGGUGUAUUUUCGCAGUUGGGUGAAGGAGCAGAUUGUUACUGAAUGUAAAUGGACAUUUAAAUGUAAAUUUGCAAAAUAAAAGAUAUUUAUAGAUCUGGAAAAAA
ensembl:lncRNA